rfam:Botryotinia fuckeliana BcDW1 unplaced genomic scaffold Scaffold_172, whole genome shotgun sequence.
UUCUCGCUCAAAGAAUCGCAUUCGAAGCACACAAACAGAAAUAUCUUCAUCGAUGUUUCACUCUACUCUUAUGCUUUGGGAGAAAGUCCCCGGACACCCUUCUUUCUAAAAGUUAGGAUUGCGGAAACGCGCCGCCAUAGAAGCACUUGCGGCUUCUCUUCUACCAAUUCUUUACCCCCAAUUUCAUCCAUCCUUUUGCCGUUAUUACUGUUUCCACGAGGCUUCUUGGAGAUUGAAUUCGGAGCAUGGGAGACCACAUGGAUGAAGAUAUGAGUCCGAGCCCCUGUGCAAUGCUUCCAAUUGACUUGAAGAAGAGUGGUAAUGGGAGGUAGAAGACAUGUUCCUGAUUGGGGUGGGAGUGUUAAUGGUAGUCGAGGCUUUUUCGUCGAGAUCGAUAGUUAUGCGAUUGCUUUCCUUUGCUGCAAAGCUGGGAAAGUAACUCGAUGGGGCUUAUUCUUGAUGCGAGA